AUCCAGCUGACGACUCGCAAAUGGGACGGAACGCGCGUCAUGGAU
rnacentral:hammerhead_ribozyme from 1 species